GUGAGGAAUAUUGGUCAAUGGGCGGGAGCCUGAACCAGCCAAGUCGCGUGAAGGAAGAAGGAUCUAUGGUUCGUAAACUUCUUUUGCAGGGGAAUAAAGUGCAGGACGUGUCCUGUUUUGUAUGUACCCUGAGAAUAAGGAUCGGCUAACUCCGUGCCAGCAGCCGCGGUAAUACGGAGGAUCCGAGCGUUAUCCGGAUUUAUUGGGUUUAAAGGGUGCGUAGGUGGAUUGAUAAGUCAGCGGUGAAAGUUUGCAGCUUAACUGUAAAAUUGCCGUUGAAACUGUCGGACUUGAGUGUAAAUGAGGUAGGCGGAAUGCGUGGUGUAGCGGUGAAAUGCAUAGAUAUCACGCAGAACUCCGAUUGCGAAGGCAGCUUACUAAGCUACAACUGACACUGAAGCACGAAAGCGUGGGGAUCAAACAGGAUUAGAUACCCCAGUAUCC
rnacentral:rRNA from 1 species